rnacentral:tRNA from 1 species
AGUCCUGUCGUCUAACGGAAAGACUUGCGCCCGAUGAGCGUAACAUCUCAGUUCGAUUCUGAGCAGGACUACCA